CAGUCGCCGCGGUAAUACGUAGGGUGCGAGCGUUAAUCGGAAUUACUGGGCGUAAAGCGUGCGCAGGCGGUUAUAUAAGACAGAUGUGAAAUCCCCGGGCUCAACCUGGGACCUGCAUUUGUGACUGUAUAGCUAGAGUACGGUAGAGGGGGAUGGAAUUCCGCGUGUAGCAGUGAAAUGCGUAGAUAUGCGGAGGAACACCGAUGGCGAAGGCAAUCCCCUGGACCUGUACUGACGCUCAUGCACGAAAGCGUGGGGAGCAAACAGGAUUAGAUACCCCCGUAGUCCCUGUCUCUUAUAC
rnacentral:rRNA from 1 species